rnacentral:lncRNA from 1 species
GUUACAUCUUGUUGCUGUGAGACAGAUGGCAGCAGAGGGGCAGUCCGACAAAAUGGCGUCUGACAUCGAAAUGUAUAUGAAGAAAAGAUGAACAGUAAGAAGGAUUUCCAUGAAAUAUAGAAGUACAAGUGGAUCUGUGACCUAAAAAGAUUGUAUGAUGGUAACAGUCUGAAGUUGCACUUUUCCCAUGUCUCAGUAAGCUAUGAAUCUCCAUAUGUAGUAUUUAUGUUCUAUUUUAUGAGUAGAGAUGCAGCAUAAUCUUACCAUUUAGCCUGGG